CUUCAGCGAGCCGAGCCACAGGGGCUGUCCGGCGCGUCGGUCCGUGCCGUACGUGGCGAGCAGCGCGUCGGCCUC
rnacentral:antisense_RNA from 1 species